rnacentral:rRNA from 1 species
CCUACGGGAGGCAGCAGUGAGGAAUAUUGGUCAAUGGGCGGAAGCCUGAACCAGCCAAGUAGCGUGCGGGAUGAAGGCCCUACUGGUCGUCAACCGCUUUUGCACUGGGAUAACACCCUCCACUUGUGGAGGUCUGCAGGUACCGUGCGAAUAAGGGCCGGCUAAUUCCGUGCCAGCAGCCGCGGUAAUACGGAAGGCCCGAGCGUUAUCCGGAUUCAUUGGGCGUAAAGGGAGCGUAGGCGGGCGUUAAAGUCAGCUGUAAAAUCGCGCGGCGCAACCGCGCCCCGCAGUUGAAACUGGACGCCUUGAGUGCACAACAGGCAGGCGGAAUUCGUGGUGUAGCGGUGAAAUGCAUAGAUAUCACGAGGAACCCCGAUUGCGAAGGCAGCCUGCCGGGGUGCGACUGACGCUGAGGCUCGAAGGUGCGGGUAUCAAACAGGAGUAGAUACCCGUGUAGUC